rnacentral:lncRNA from 1 species
AGGCCUAAUCACAUCGGGGACUCGAGGCCUCCCUUCCAGGCUUGGCAGGCAGAGUAUCUCAAGAUGAAGAGAAAGACAUUUUCCCUUGCAUGCUGGCCGCUGUUUCAUCUUCUACUACUCUUAGGAAACGCUGUAACUUCUAAUGCUAACACUACAGCCGCCACCCUUGGACAAACCACAUCACCCAGGGGAACUAACACAACAGCUAUAACCUCCAGUGGGAACAUCACGACCACCUCCCUCGGACCAACCACACCAUCCAGGGGAACUAACACAACAGCUAUAACCUCCAGUGGGAACAUCACAACCACCUCCCUCGGGCCAACCACACCGUCCAGGGGAACUAACACAACAACUAUAACCUCCAGUGGGAACAUCACGACCACCUCCCUCGGACCAACCACACCGUCCAGGGAAACUAACACAACGGCUAUAACCUCCAGUGUCACCAGCACAAGUACUGCCCCUCCAAGGAAAGAGGAGAACCUUAGCGGACAACUGACACCAUGGGAAGUUGUUCUGGUCACUCUGGCCUCGGUUGCAAUGGCUGUGAUUCUCGUCACCGGGCUUCUCUUCCAUUUCAGAAACUCUCCAGGCCUCAGAAACCUCUUCGAUGUUGAUCUCUUACCAACUGCAUGGCCAAGCCCCUACGGGACCAGGGCAACUGCAACUGACUUCAGAGGAGACCCUUCUCCCGUAGUCAUGGAGCUGACUGGGAGGCGGGAACAGCACUGAGCUCCCUGAAGGCAGACGCAUCACCAAUGUGUGGGGGUAGGGGGCUGACCUGGGGGAGCCUGAGUAUUCCUCCUGUCCGAAGGACUGUCCCUCCCAGCUCCAUUUCAGCCUCUGACUGUCCUCCUUCCCACUUGGUUUUUCCAGACCAAAACAAGGAGGCUGUAGCUGUGAACGAAUUAU